rnacentral:misc_RNA from 1 species
UACUGGCAGGAUCAACCAGGGAAAGUGAAGAACAAGUAUCCUUUUCCGCGGAUCGACGAGCUCUUCGACUAGCUUCAGGGUGCUAAACACUUUUCGAAUAUAGACUUGAGAUCAGGAUAUCAUCAGCUGCGAGUCAGAGAGCAGAUUGUACAGAAGACAGCGUUUCGUACACGCUAUGGGCACUGCGAGUUCUUAGUGAUGCUAUUCGGAUUGAUGAAUGCACCAGCAGUGUUCAUGGCUUUGAUAAACAAGAUCUUCGCACGUACCUCGCCAACUUCACGGUUGUGUUCAUCGACGACGUGCUAGUCUAUUCAAAGUCCAGAGAAGAGCAUGAGCAACAUUUGAGAACGUCUCUACAUUUGUUGCAUGAUAACCAACUGUAUGCAAAGCUCAGCA